UACGGAGGGGGCGAGCGUUAUUCGGAAUUAUUGAGUGUAAAGGGCGCGUAGGCGGCCCGGUAAGUCAAAGGUGAAAUCCCUCGGCUCAACUGAGGAACUGCCUUUGAAACUGUCGGGCUUGAGGCCGGGAGAGGUAGUGGAAUUCCCAGUGUAGCGGUGAAAUGCGUAGAUAUUGGGAGGAACACCAGUGGCGAAGGCGGCUACCUGGACCGGUUCUGACGCUGAGGCGCGAAAGCGUGGGUAGCAAACAGGGA
rnacentral:rRNA from 1 species